rnacentral:rRNA from 1 species
GGUGAAGUGUUCGGAUCGAGGCGACGUGGGCGGUUCGCCGCCGACGACGUCGCGAGAAGUCCACUGAACCUUAUCAUUUAGAGGAAGGAGAAGUCG